rnacentral:rRNA from 1 species
CCCGGGGAUAGCCUUGCGAAAGCAAGAUUAAUACCCGAUGUUCUCACUGUUCCGCAUGUUACGGUGAGCAAAGAAUUUCGGUAUGCGAUGGCGAUGCGUCCCAUUAGCUAGUUGGCGGGGUAACGGCCCACCAAGGCUCCGAUGGGUAGGGGUUCUGAGAGGAAGGUCCCCCACACUGGAACUGAGACACGGUCCAGACUCCUACGGGAGGCAGCAGUGAGGAAUAUUGGUCAAUGGACGCAAGUCUGAACCAGCCAAGUAGCGUGCAGGAUGACGGCCCUCCGGGUUGUAAACUGCUUUUAGUUGGGAAUAAAAGGGGGCUCGUGAGCCCCGUAUUGUAUGUACCAUCAGAAAAAGGACCGGCUAAUUCCGUGCCAGCAGCCGCGGUAAUACGGAAGGUCCGGGCGUUAUCCGGAUUUAUUGGGUUUAAAGGGAGCGUAGGCCGGCUUUUAAGUCAGCUGUGAAAGUCCGCGGCUCAACCGUGGAAUUGCAGUUGAAACUGGAGGCCUUGAGUGACACAGGGAGCCGGAAUUCAUGGUGUAGCGGUGAAAUGCUUAGAUAUCAUGAAGAACUCCGAUCGCGAAGGCAAGUGUCCGGGGUGCAACUGACGCUGAGGCUCGAAAGUGCGGGUAUCAAACAGGAUUAGAUACCCUGGUAGUCCGCACCGUAAACGAAGAAUACUCGUGUCCCGCGAUAUAUUGUGGG